GCCUCCGGUGUAACAGGCCGAUCAUUAUGGGGGACCCAGGACCCCGAAGCGGGAUGGACCCUGACCGACCGACCGCUGCGCAGAGCUCAUCCAGGCGGUUUAUACCGGGAUAAAAGACCAUUCUGUGUGUGCAAUAACAAACAGAGAGCUGCAGAGGAGGCGGUGUUUGCUGGGAUUCAAUCAGAGCCAAAGAGUCGCGACUGGGAGCUUAACUAGAGAGAGCGACGCGAGUUAUAAUCUAACUGGAUCCAGCUCGAAAUUGCGAGAAUGAUGGAGGAAUUGUCGAUUACAAGCUUGUCCGGUCAGCCCAACCCUGUCAGAGCAGGGUGGGUUCAUCCGGAGUGAAAUCAGUCGGCUCUUAUCUGUUGGCUUCCCCUCCGCCGGGCGGCGAUGUCCACUUUCUGCCUCGACCUGCAGGUUUCAGCACCACUGGAGCUGGACAGCGACUGCAUGGAGCCCCGGGCCAGCCCCGCCGCACAGGAGCCCGGCGGCUUUCAGGGUCACCCGCUGCGGCACGCCGGCUCCGGAGGCCUCGGCAUGGCCUUGGAGGAGGAACUGGCCAUGCUUACCGGGGAGCGGGGCGAGGAGGAGGACCUGCCCGACCUAGAGACGCCUGCGGUGGGGCAUAACGCAGACUUGCUGUCGCUCUUCCGUCAGAAGGAAAAAGAUUUGGUUUUAGCUGCUAAACUCGGCAAAGCGCUGCUGGAGAGAAACCAAGACUUGACCAAGCAAUAUGAGAAAAUGCACAAAGAUCUCAACGAGAAAUUAGAGCACUUGGAGCAGGAGAAGCAUGAGUUGCGUCGGCGUCUGGAAAGUCGAGAGGGGGAGUGGGAGGGCCGCGUGACCGAGCUGGAGACGGACGUCCAGCAGCUGCAGGGUGAACUGGAGCUCCAUCAGGUCCAGCUGAGAGAGGCCGACAGAGACAAGACCAAGGCCAUCAGCCAGCUCUCCGAACAGAACCACAGACUGCUGGAGCAACUCAGCAGGGCUGCAGAGGUGGAGAGGCAGCUGUCCACUCAGGUCCAUUCACUCCGGGACGACUUCAGGGAGAAGAGUGUGUCCAGCAGCCAGCACAUGACUCGACUGGAGACUCUACAGGCAGAGCAAGGGCUAGAAAUUAAGAUGCUGUCGGAGAGGAAGAUGGAGCUGGAGCGUCGGGUGCACGCCAUGCUGGAGGAGAACGAGCUGCUGCAGAACUCAGUGGACGACCUCCGAGAGAGGAAGCUGGUGUUGGAGAGGCAGUCUCACGAGAAGGACCUGCAGUUACGGCAGAGUCAGCUGGAGCUGCAGGAGGUCCAGAUGUCCCACAGGCAGCUGAGCGCGCGGCUGGAGGAGCUGACGGAGGAGCACAGCCUCCACAGCCUCACGCCGCACCCGUCCAGCCUGCUGUGUGAGAUCGAACAGAGCAUGGAGCAGGAGGAGCAGGAGCAGGAGCGAGAGCAGCUGCGUCUCCAGCUGUGGGAGACGUACUGUGAGGUGCGCUCGCUCUGCUCUCACCUUCGGGGGAACGACGUCACGGACUCGGCGCUGUCCACCGACUCCUCCAUGGACGAGUCCUCGGAGACGUCCUCAGCCAAGGAUGUGCCUACUGGGAGCCUCCACACCGGCCUGCUGGAGCUGCGGAGGCUCACACAGAAUCUGCUGGAUGGAAACGAGUCCACGGGCUCGCGGCGCAGCGAUGAGGAGGCUCUGGAGGAGCAGGUGAGGAAGAUGGGAGAUGAGCUGAGGGAAGUCAGAGAGCUGUACGAGGCUGAGCAGGACAAAACACGCAGCAGAGAAGACGAAGUGCUGCAGCUGCACAAUCAGAUGGCGCUGCUCUCCGUGGAGAUGUGCUCUCUCCGGGAGGACAACGAGCGGAUCAGGGCGAUGGCUGAAGUCCGAGAACCCAGCGAGCAGCUGCAGGCUGCGAUCAGAGACAGAGACGACGCCAUAUCCAAGAAGAAAGCGGUGGAGAUGGAGCUGGCCAAGUGUAAAAUAGACAUCAUGUCUCUGAACAGUCAGCUCCUGGACGCCAUCCAGCAGAAGCUCAACCUGUCGCAGCAGCUGGAGGCUUGGCAGUUUGCCUCCUCAGGGCUCUUUACUGUUUGGCUCUUGUGGUUUCUGAUCUAGUGGCCUUUCUCAGCUUCCGUACCACCCUUUCUUCCCCUGUGGUACCCCCCCUCCUGCCUUAGAGGACGACAUGCACAGAGUGAUUGACCAGCAGUUGAUGGACAAGUACCAGGACGAGUGGCGCUCGGCCCCCGCCUCCCUGUCGGGGUCGCUGAGGGCCCACGGCGCUCAGUCCUCCAGACGCGCUCACCGCAUCUCCGACCGGGACAAGAGACUUUUCUCUUUUUUCAAAAAGAGCUGAGUCGCGUUGGACGGAUCCUGAGCACGGCAGACACACAGGAGGAAGUGACAUCACAGGAGGAAGUGACAUCACAGGGGUAACAACACAGCCA